rfam:Mycobacterium cosmeticum, DSM 44829, WGS project CCBB01000000 data, contig: 000001
UCGGUUCCGGUUCACGUCCGUACAUCCCCAGGUCAGGGGCGGACGACCCGGCGACC